UUCCGGUUGAUCCCGCCGGAGGUUACUGCUAUCGAGGUUCGACUAAGCCAUGCGAGUCGAAUGUAGCAAUACAUGGCGAACUGCUCAGUAACACGUGGACAACCUGCCCUUAGGUUGGGUAUAAACCCGGGAAACUGGGUAUAAUACCCGAUAGGUCUCGAUUGCUGGAAUGCAUCGAGAUUUAGAGCUCCGGCGCCUAAGGAUGGGUCUGCGGCCUAUCAGGUAGUAGUGGGUGUAGCGUACCUACUAGCCUACGACGGGUACGGGUUGUGAGAGCAAGAGCCCGGAGAUGGAUUCUGAGACACGAAUCCAGGCCCUACGGGGUGCAGCAGGCGCGAAAACUUUACAAUGCUGGCAACAGCGAUAAGGGAACCUCGAGUGCCAGGUUACAAAUCUGGCUGUCGAGAUGCCUAAAAAGCAUUUCAUAGCAAGGGCCGGGCAAGACCGGUGCCAGCCGCCGCGGUAACACCGGCGGCUCGAGUGGUAACCGUUAUUAUUGGGUCUAAAGGGUCUGUAGCCGGCCGGAUAAGUCUCUUGAGAAAUCUGGCAGCUUAACUGUCAGGCUUUCAGGAGAUACUGUCUGGCUCGAGGCCGGGAGAGGUGAGAGGUACUUCAUGGGUAGGGGUGAAAUC
rnacentral:rRNA from 1 species